UUGAAAACAUUUAAAUUUAUCUUCCUAGAGGAAUCUUAAUAUCAAGAAAGUAUUGCUUGCCAUGUGGAGAGCCAGAGAAAGGCCUGUGUUCUUCUAAUCAUCCCAUGGAAGCUCGAAGGUGUUCCUGUUCCAGCUGCUUUUGGGAGGAGGAUGCUUUGGACUGAGCACGUUUCUUUAUAUACCCCUGGACAUUUUUAAAGGAAGGAAUGUGGGUUGUAUUUGUGAUCUGAGAAAUCACAGUGUUCUCAUUGGCCUCUCUGGGGAUUGUUCACCAAUGCUUUCUUUUCUCUGCCAAACUUAAACAUUUCUCCUGAGGAAACAUUCAGUUUCUAAAUCUGCAUAAUCCUGCCUUGGUUUGCACAGGUUUGUUCCCACCCAAGUGCACCAUAUGCCAGCGGGCAGCCACACUCAGGCUGAUGAGAAGUGCUGGGAGACAACAACAGAGCUGAGAGAUCUUCCUCACAGCCCAUCAUCAGAAAGGAACGUGUCACUCCUGUUUACUCCUAGGCAGUGCUGGGAAAUGAAUAGCAUUAAACAUUCAGCAACAUUAUUCCUUUUCUAUGUCUGCAUAAAUUUUUAACUGUCAUGCUGUCCAAAAUAAUUUGUAUAAGUUUUAAAGUUGGGGAGUAUAUUUGAUCAUAUUAUGUCUUUGCUAGUCAGGCCAAUAAAUUUAAUUUCAGAGCGCUGCUCUUAAAGUCUGAA